GACGAACGCUGGCGGCGUGCUUAACACAUGCAAGUCGAACGGACAGGCCCUGCUUUUGUGGGGUGCUCGAGUGGCGAACGGGUGAGUAACACGUGAGUAACCUGCCCUUGACUUUGGGAUAACUUCAGGAAACUGGGGCUAAUACCGGAUAGGAGCUCCUGCUGCACGGUGGGGGUUGGAAAGUUUCGGCGGUUGGGGAUGGACUCGCGGCUUAUCAGCUUGUUGGUGGGGUAGUGGCUUACCAAGGCUUUGACGGGUAGCCGGCCUGAGAGGGUGACCGGCCACAUUGGGACUGAGAUACGGCCCAGACUCCUACGGGAGGCAGCAGGGGAGAAUAUUGCACAAUGAGCGGGAGCCUGAUGCAGCAACGCCGCGUGCGGGAUGACGGCCUUCGGGUUGUAAACCGCUUUCGCCUGUGACGAAGCGUGAGUGACGGUAAUGGGUAAAGAAGCACCGGCUAACUACGUG
rnacentral:rRNA from 1 species